rnacentral:rRNA from 1 species
GACGAACGCUGGCGGCGUGCCUAAUACAUGCAAGUAGAACGCUGAAGCGAGGAGCUUGCUCUUCUUGGAUGAGUUGCGAACGGGUGAGUAACGCGUAGGUAACCUGCCUUGUAGCGGGGGAUAACUAUUGGAAACGAUAGCUAAUACCGCAUAACAAUAGGUGACACAUGUCAUUUAUUUGAAAGGGGCAAUUGCUCCACUACAAGAUGGACCUGCGUUGUAUUAGCUAGUAGGUGAGGUAACGGCUCACCUAGGCGACGAUACAUAGCCGACCUGAGAGGGUGAUCGGCCAAAAUGGGACUGAGAAACGGCCCAGACUCCUACGGGAGGCAGCAGUAGGGAAUCUUCGGCAAUGGGGGCAACCCUGACCGAGCAACGCCGCGUGAGUGAAGAAGGUUUUCGGAUCGUAAAGCUCUGUUGUAAGUCAAGAACGAGUGUGAGAGUGGAAAGUUCACACUGUGACGGUAGCUGACCAGAAAGGGACGGCUAACUACGUG